ensembl:lncRNA
UUUCUAAAAAUUUUACAUUUUCAAAUGAAUCUCACAAAAUUUGCAAAUCAUAAAAUAGUUGCGUUUUCUCAUGGGAUUGUGUUAUUUGUUUCUAAAGUGAUCUCUGUGUUAUUUGAGACUGAAAACUUUUGUUGGAUGGUUGGUGGGUUGGUUUGGUGAUGAUGGGAACCAGACUGAGCAUUUAGUCAGAUCAGCUGUUGAGAUGAACUUACAACCUAGAGUCCUAAUGAAAACCACAUGCAGAUGGCAACUGAUGGAGGUUUUUCCCCUCCAUUAUUCAUUUCAGUUGCUCUUUCGUUUGCCAUUGCAAAUGAUUGUGGUUUUCUUGGGUGUUACUGGCAGACCUGAACUUAGUCAUAAUGUGUGUGCCACCGUUCACAAUUACGUCUUUGCAGCCUUGGUGUCGCCAUCUUUUCUGUGGAACAUUUUUGGUUACUAUGUUCUAUAACAUAGAUCCAGAUUUAUUUUCAUUUUAUUCUAGCCUUUAAAUGUUUUGAGUUUCAGAAUAAUGUUUUGCUUCGUUUUGUUUUUUUGAAGCUGGGCCCCAGAUGGGCCCACUGUCUAUUACUUGAACUCUUGCAUCACUCACCAUUGAAUGUCUUUAAUACAUAGAUGCAUUUAUUAAUACACAGGAAAUCCCUUUUAUGGCAUGAGUGGAUUGAGUAUAAAACGUGUCUGAAUUUGUUUAUUCUUAAGACUGGAACUCAACUUGUGUGUUUUGUUGAAAGUAAAGGGGCUUAUGUUCACAGAGCUCCAAAGUGAUUAUUGGAGUCCAGUAUAGCACACAUCAUAUUUGAAGAGUUUUAGAGUCAUUUACUAGACUGGUCACAAAGUUAUUUUAUGUUAAACAAUUCAGGCCAUGUUCGUACAUGAUACGGAUUGAAGAAUUGUUUUGAGAAGAAAAAAAAAAGUUUGAAUUACUUUUUGUUUUUCCUAGGCAUUGAGACCAAAGAUUUAAGUUUGGUUUGUUUUAUUUUCUUAAUUUUGUGUCUUAGUUUUUGGGUUGCUAUCGCUAGCCCCUCACUCGUCUGGCAAAAUAACAAUGUCUUUAUUACUGUCUGUAUAUUGAAGGGUUCACUGUGGAUUGGUUGGUGGUCCAUUUUUUGCCAUUUAAAACUGAUGACAAUUUGUUUACCUAAAUGAAAUGUAGUUUUGUUAAGCCUCAAAGUGAACAGUCUGCCCUAAAGCUAGUUCAUUUUUGCACUCACUUAUUUGUAAAAGCUAAAUGCUGUGUGUGUGUGUGUGUGUGUGUGUGUGUGUGUGUGUGUGUGUGUGUGUGUGUGUGUGUGUGUGUGCGCGUGUGCGCGUGUGCGCCAUCAAAGUUGUUAUUAAUUUGUCCGUUAGGUCACUAAACCAACUCUAAAGUUACCAAAAUCAAGUGUUUCUAUGACUCUUUUCUUUACAGAAUAGUCUUGCAUUCAGCUGCAGUCAUUGUUGCUUUUUCUUUCUGUGUUGUAAAAUCCAUAUAAAGAAAACCGACAACCCUAUACCACAGAAAUGUAUGGUCCGUUUAGGAAAAAAAGUGAUUGUCAUUCUCUGCAGGGCAAAAAGCAGUAGGGUUUGUUGGCUUUCUUUGUUCCUAUACUCAAGAAAGCAUGAAAUAUUAUGUUUUUCUUCUAAAAGGUUUCAGGGACAUAAAAAGCAUUGCAUUGGGAAUUCAUAUGAGAGACAUUUACUAGAGUGCUUUUUUUUUUUUUUGUAUUGAAGUGGGAAUGGGGGAAGCUCACACAUUAUAACAAGCCGGCAGAAUCAACAGUGCUUUGCUUCAAAAGCUCAGAGGGUUUGGACAUGUACCAAAACAACCUUUCUUGACUCAAAGCCGCUUGAGUUUUCAGUUAGACUCUGUACAAAGCAGGUGUUAUUGACUAGAAGACCUGGCUAAGGUUAUUUCCGGACUGUUAACUAGCACUGGCUAUGGCCCCCUUGUGCAGUUCUGCAAAGUUUUAUUUGCAGUCAGGUUUGAAUAUGUUGUGAUUCUCAUUGGGAGUCUCUUGUGUUCUUACCACAGCUGUCCCACCAUGAUAUCCAGCACAUUUCUUAUAUAUAUUAAAAAUAUAACUAACAAAGGUUUUCAAAAAAUGAAAAAGAAAAAAAAAAACUUGCUCUCCUUCCCACUUGCAUGCUUUCUUUGGUACUCUUGACUGUUGUUUUGUGUAAAAAAAAAAAAAAAAAAAAGGUAAAAAAACAAACUGUCAAUGUCUGUUUAUGGUGUAGUCUAAUAUAAAUUUUAAUAUAGCUUAUGAAAAAAGUCUGCUUUUUCAGCUGAAAUAAGUUGGAGCCCUUUGUUGCACUGACUAAAAGCAAAAUGAUGCUCACAAAAACUGAGACAGAGGAGCUGAAGCAAUAGACAACAGUGUGUUCAGUACCAUUUGCACAACCUGUAACGUAUAAAUGUAUCUCACCUGAGACCUUUAAAUGUUUUCUUCACACUCAGACCUUAUUGACUGAAUACUCACUUUUAUUCUGCAUAAAUCUAAAUAUUUCCUUAACACCAGCAGUUUUCAUCUCUGGACUUUUAUAGACUCAGCUUAAGCAAUAAGCCACGGGCUCUCGAAAACAUUCUGCAAAUGAAAAUAAUCGUGUUGCUCCGGUCCAUUUAUGCUUCUAUAGCGAGUGUUUCAUGUCUUAUUAUACAAAUUAUGGCACAAAAGGACAUGAGAUACAUCGCUCUGCAUGUAGAGAACAAAUGUCAGAAAUCCUCUCUCUCAGUAUUUGAAUAUCAUUGUUGCUUCAGACUUAUCGGUAUGCUUCAGUUACGAUUUCCACCGCAAAUCAUUUUCUUGUAUCUGUUACGAUCGUUUGUAUUGGUUGUAGACGCUCCAUUUGUUAUGAGGUGAACUCAUGUAUAUACUCAGUGGAACUCCACAAUAUUCAGUUCUCUU